rnacentral:rRNA from 1 species
UACGUAGGGUCCGAGCGUUGUCCGGAAUUAUUGGGCGUAAAGAGCUCGUAGGCGGUUUGUCGCGUCUGCUGUGAAAUCCCGAGGCUCAACCUCGGGUCUGCAGUGGGUACGGGCAGACUGGAGUGCGGUAGGGGAGAAUGGAAUUCCUGGUGUAGCGGUGGAAUGCGCAGAUAUCAGGAGGAACACCGGUGGCGAAGGCGGGUCUCUGGGCCGUAACUGACGCUGAGGCGCGAAAGCGUGGGGAGCAAACAGG